AUGACCGCUGCACGGCAACUGGAUGACCUGCUGGCGAAGCUUUGCAACAUACAGCCGGAUCUAACACACGGUGAUAAAAGGGUUUCUUCUAUUCACAAGGGCGAAGCAACCAUGGCGUACUUUUAUAAUUUGUUAACUUUCAGAGGUAUGAAUUGGCCGCAGGCUGCUUUCAUAUGGAACAGCAUCAUCCCCAUGUGCCACCGAGUUUUUCUCUGGCUGGCCUUGCAUGGUAGGCUGAACACUCAAGAUAACAUGGUUAAAAAGAAUUGGAAAGCUAUUGCAUCACAUGACGGAUGUGAUGUUUGCCCUGCCACUGAAUCAAUUACUCACUUGGUGCUCAGAUGCAAAGCUGCGGAUGUCCUUUGGAAGAAAAUUGGGGUGCUAGACCUGGCUGUGCAGGCAAACAGCCUUCUGGAGUUUGUCUCAUCACCUCUGGCAUCAUACAGAAUUGGCAAACUAUGGCAUGUGCUUUUUGCUGUGUGUGCGGUCACUUUAUGGAGCGCUCGAAAUGCCUGA
rnacentral:rRNA from 1 species